GAUGAACGCUGGCGGCGUGCCUAAUACAUGCAAGUCGAGCGAACAGACGAGGAGCUUGCUCCUCUGACGUUAGCGGCGGACGGGUGAGUAACACGUGGAUAACCUACCUAUAAGACUGGGAUAACUUCGGGAAACCGGAGCUAAUACCGGAUAAUAUAUUGAACCGCAUGGUUCAAUUGUGAAAGACGGUUUUGCUGUCACUUAUAGAUGGAUCCGCGCCGCAUUAGCUAGUUGGUAAGGUAACGGCUUACCAAGGCAACGAUGCGUAGCCGACCUGAGAGGGUGAUCGGCCACACUGGAACUGAGACACGGUCCAGACUCUUACGGGAGGCAGCAGUAGGGAAUCUUCCGCAAUGGGCGAAAGCCUGACGGAGCAACGCCGCGUGAGUGAUGAAGGUCUUCGGAUCGUAAAACUCUGUUAUUAGGGAAGAACAAAUGUGUAAGUAACUAUGCACGUCUUGACGGUACCUAAUCAGAAAGCCACGGCUAACUACGUG
rnacentral:rRNA from 1 species